UUUUUUUUUUUUUUUUUUAAUUUAUUUAUUUACGAUAGUCACACUCAGAGAGAGAGAGAGAGAGAGAGGCAGAGACACAGGCAGAGAGAGAAGCAGGCUCCAUGCACCGGGAGCCCGACAUGGGAUUCGAUCCCGGGUCUCCAGGAUCGCGCCCUGAGCCAAAGGCAGGCGCCAAACUGCUGCGCCACCCAGGGAUCCCCUGCUUUUCUCUUCUUACGGCAUGGAGAUCAGCCUACCUUAAGAACAAAGGGAAUUCACUGAAGGGACCACCAGGUUCAGGUUCAGGACACAUACCUAAUAACAAGAACCAGAAAAUAACAGCAAGUACUAUUUAGUCAUUUGGUCAGAGUCGCCUGCUAGAUGAGUGGACUCCCAAAAGUUUAUUUCCACUGAAGAAUCUCCCUGGAGGGGCACCUGGGGUGCCUUAGUCGGUUAAGCAUCUGACUUUUGAUCUCAGUUCAGAUCUGGAAUUCACAGUCAAGAGUUCAAGCCCUGCAGUGGGCUCCAUGCUGGGUGUCCAGUCUACUUGAAAAGAAAAGAAAGGAAAAGAAAAAAGAAGAAUCUCCCUGCAAGCAGAAUCCAACUGGCCAAAAUGAGGGCACACAUUAUCCUUGGCUGUAGCAGGAGGACACAGCAACCUCUGGGACCCUUUGGCUUCUGUUUGGGAAGGCAGGACACAGAGGCUAUAUACAGCUGUGGAGCAGAGACAGGAUUAGGCAGAAUAGGGUGAAAGUGUCACCAUGCCGUGUGCCCUCUGCUAGCACUUUUCCAGAAAAACCUCCAUUUCCGUGAUCCUGUUUCCUACAAGUAACAGAGGUUACUGUCUGUGCUCUGAAGGUUAUAGCUGACAAACACCUGUUUGUUGUUCUCCUUGGUUAAAGCCCUGAGUACAGGCUUUAAAGUAGAAAUGUGCAUAAUGUCUAUAGGUAGAGGAGAAUGAAAUAGGUGGACUUAGGUUAAGUAAAGGUAUGGUGGUGGGGGACGCCCAGGUGGCUCAGCGGUUAAACGUCUGCCUUUGGCUCAGGUCAUGAUCCUGCAAUCCCAGGAUUGAGUCCCUCAUCGAGCUCCCUGCAUGGAGCCUGCUUCUCCCUCAGCCUGUGUCUCUGCCUCUCUCUCUGUGUCUCUCAUGAAUAAAUAAAUAAAAUCUUAAAAAAAAAAAAAAAAAAAAGGUAUGGUGAUAGGAGACAAGCCUGGAAGCUGAUUAUAGGGAGCUUUGUGAAGCUAAAGUGUUUGUCCUAAGGGGCGUUGCGUGGCUUAGGUGGUUAAGCAUCUGCCUUUGGCUUAGGUCAUGAUCUUGGGGGUCAGGCUCCCUGCUCAGUGGGGAGUCUGCUUCUCUCUCUCUCCCUUUGCCCCUCUUCCCCCACUUCCCUGCUUGUGCUUUCUGCUCUCUCUUGUGCUCUCUCAAAUAAAAAUUUUUUUGAAAAAAUAAAGUGUCCUGUAAGGAUAUAAUUUUUGAGCAGACAUAAAAUGAAAGCAAAUGAUUAGAUUUGGCAGUUGUGUGCAGCAUGGGCUUUAAGAAGAGACGGGAUUCCAAGAAAACAAGUUAGGUGACAUGAAUUGUCCAUAUAUACUAUGAUGGUAUUCUAAGCUGGGAAGAAAUUAUUGGUUUGAUUGUUUGUUGUAGUAGUCACUUUGCUAAAUGAUACUCCAGUUGGAGGCAUGAUAAAGCCCAGUGAAUUGCAAUAAAUUCUUCCAACAACUUACUCAUUAAAUUGAUAGCUAUAUGGGACCUGUGGUCCCAACAAAUUGAGGAUUUCUUGAUAUUAAUGACAUUCUUUGUGGUGCUGAAAUCCUAUCUUGGUUUCCUCUUUACUAUCCACAGUUAUAUUCUUUCUAAGCCUUAUAAUACUGCUUAAAUGGUAUACAUUUAAUAUCUUUAGUGCUAAGUCAUUUAGUGAAUGCUUUCCUUUUUUAUUCAUUUUCAAUCCAGAGCUUUACAAACUUUAAUUGGCCAAGUUUAGGAUUCAAUAAACUCAAGAAACUUUUAAAAAUCAUGUGUUCAUGGGGAGCCUGGGUGGCUCAGUCAAUUAAGCAUCUAACUCUUGAUUUCAGCUCAGGUCAUGAUCUCAGGGUUAUGAGCUAGAGCCCUGUGUCAGCUCCCCACUCAGUAGAGAGUCUGUUUCUCUCCCUCUCCAUUUACCCCUCCCUCAGCUCCUACUUUCUGUCUCUAAAAUAAAUAAAUCUUAAAAAAAAAAAAAAAAACAUAUGUUCACUUCUGUUAUCAAACCACAAAUGCAUUUUCAUAAAACUUAUUAGAAAAUCUUUUGGUUUGUCUUGGGGCACCUGGGUGGCUCAGUCUGCUGAGCAUCUGCCUUUGACUCAGGUCACUAUCUCAGGGUCCUGGGAUGGAGCCCUGCAAUGGGCUCCCUGAUCAUCGGGGAGUCUGCUUCUCCCUCUCCCUCUGCUGGUGCUUGCAUGUACUCUCUCUCAUGCUCCCUCUCUUAAAUAAAGUCUUUAAGAAAAUCUUUUAGUUUGUCUCUUGGAAUUGCUUAUUUGUUUCAAGGGACAUAUUAUUAUUGGUUUAAACAAACUGCUUCAUUUUCAGUUUCCUUAUUAGUUUUAUUUUAUUUUAUUUUUUUAAAAAUUUUUAUUUAUUCAUGAUAGGCACACAGUGAGAGAGAGAGAGAGAGGCAGAGACACAAGCAGAGGGAGAAGCAGGCUCCAUGCACCGGGAGCCUGACGUGGGAUUCGAUCCCGGAUCUCCAGGAUCGCGCCCUGGGCCAAAGGCAGGCGCCAAACCGCUGCGCCACCCAGGGAUCCCUCCUUAUUAGUUUUAUAUGUCCAAUUCUUUAUGGUUGACUUAAUCUGUCAGCUUUUUUUUUUUUAAAUAAUUUUUAAAAUUUGUUUCUAAAGUAAUCUCUACAUUCAACAUGGGGCUCAAACUCAUGACCCCAAGAUCAAGAGUCAAUCUGUCAGCUUUAAUAAAUCAUUUCUUUCUUGUAAAACAUUGACAUCUGUUAAAAAAAUAACUUAUUACAAUUAACUCUCUUUAAAGGUUUUACUUUCCUGGUGUUUAGUCAUCAUAUUUUAUAAUUUCUGUUAAGUGACUUUACAAAGUUUUGGUAAGAUAUACAAAUCACUUUUGCAGCUCACUAAUAAAUCUUCCGUUAUUCAUUUAACCAAUUCUCAGAUCUUCAGAUACUAUUUUCUUUCUCUAUGUACAGUAAUAAAUAUAAUUCAAGGGUAAUUAAUGGGUCAUUCUCCUAGAGCAUACAGUGCUUUAUAAAGAAUGCACAUAGGGGCACCUGGGUGGCUCAGUCAGUUGAACGUCUGACUCUUGGUUUAGGCUCAGGUCAUGAUCUCAAGAUCAGGGGAUCGAGGCCCUUGUUGGUCUCUGCGCUCAGCAUGGAGUCCACCUGAGAUUCUCUCUCCAUCCUCUCUCCCCAACUAAAAUUAAAAAAAACAAUAAAAUCUUAAAAAAAAAAUGCACAUAAUACAGCAACUAGUGCUACAAAGGUUUCCCAGACAUCUCCAUGAAAAGAUGCUCAUUAAUCAAUGGUCAUAAAACAUUCUACACAAUUAAGUUGAACUCAUGGGUUAAUAUUGAAACUUACAUUACUUAUACUUACUAACAUUAACAUAACUUAUAUUACUAACACUAUUGCUUAUUACACUACUAUAUAUUUUACUAGCUAGUAUAUAGUAAAAAUAAGCUGUACUACUUGUUAAGGUCCAAUAUAUUCAAUCACAUAAAAUGUGAAGUUGCCUUACUGUAAGAUUAAUGAAAUAACCAGAAGAAGUCUGUAAUAGCCAGCUGGAGGUGUGUGUGUGUAUGUCUGUGUGUGCACGUGCACGGAGGGGGGGGGGGGGGGGGGAUGAUGGUCGAGAAGCCGAAUGCCAACUGCAUUAUAUCUGAAUUCACAUUAUUGUGGGGUCCAUUAUGAUGAUUCAUUUUCUGUAUUGUAACCACCAAAUAUCAGCAACAGUUUUUUGUUUUUUAAAGAUUUAAUCUAUUUAUUAUUUUUAUUUAUUUUUUAAAAGAUUUUAUUUAUUCAUGAGAGACACAGAGACAGAGAGAGGCAGAGACACAGGCAGAUGGAGAAGCAGGCUCCUUCACAUCAGCAGGUAGCCUGAUGUGGUACUCGCACCAAACCGCUGAGCCACCCACGGAUCCCCAGAUUUUAUCUAUUUAUUUGACUGAGCACACAAGCAGGGGGGAGUGCAUGCAGAAGCAGAGAGAGAAGCAGGCCUCCCACCCAGCAGGGAAGUCGAUGUGGGGCUCAAUCCCAGGACCCUGGGAUUACCACCUGAGCUGGAGGCAGACAUCUAACCAACUGAUCCAUCCAGGCAUCCCAACAAAGCUUGUUCUGACAGGGAAAAUGCAAAGUAGGGAGUCAGGCAAGAGACAUUUCAAAGGACAAAUCUAUAGGACUUGGGAGGACUGGAUAGAUGGAGGAGAUGGGGGUAAAUAAAAUACACAUUCCUGGAUCACUUGAAGCAUAAAGAUUGUGACAGAAAAUGCAGCAGUAAAGUGGUUUCAUUUCAUUGCUUGGAUUGGUAGAGGGAUAGGAAUGGAAAUAUAGGUUGGUUUUAAUUAUGUUACUGGAAGGUGAUGAUGGAAAGAUCAAGUGACUAGGCAGUUACAGGACUUGAAUUUGAGGUCAGGCUUCAGAUAAAAAUGGUAAUCACGGACAAAACAGUAAGCAGUCUACGAAUUCUUUCAGAAGUGAACAGAACAUUGAAUAAGAAUUUAAGAAAAAAUUAAGAGGUAGAACCACAUUAACACAAAAAGUAACAUUUGAAGUUUAUGGUAUCUUUUCACAUUUGUUAUUUUAAUGGAACCCUUGAGGGGUGGGGGAGAUUAGUUUCAAGUAGAUUUAUUCAUUCAUAAAUAUUUAUUAAGUGCUUCUGGGAAUACAAGGGUGAAUAAGUAACAGUCCUUGCCCUUAAUGGGUUUCCAAUCCAAUGGGAGAGGCAGACAAGUAAAUAAUUAGGGGCCCUGAUUCUAGUACUAACAAU
rnacentral:lncRNA from 1 species